CAGCGCCCCAAGUGGCAGUCGCGUUUAUUGGGCCUAAAGCGUCCGUAGCCGGACAAAUAAAUCCGCUGUGAAAUCGUCGCGCUUAACGUGACGGCAUGCAGUGGACACUGUUUGUCUCGAGACCGGGAGGAGUCAGAGGUAUGCCGUGGGGACCGGUAAAAUGGGAUAAUCCACGGUAGACCACCAAUGGCGAAGGCAUCUGACCAGAACGGAUCUGACGGUGAGGGACGAAAGCCAGGGGAGCGAACCGGAUUAGAUACCCGAGUAGUCC
rnacentral:rRNA from 1 species